GCAUGACAGAAUUUGGGUGCUAGAUGGAGGAUUGCCAAAAUGGCGUACGUUAGGAUAUGAUGUUGAAUCCAGUGCAUCUGGUGAUGCCAUUUUGAAAGCUACGGCUGCAAGUGAGGCAAUAGAGAAAAUUUAUCAGGGGCAAGCUGUUGGGCCAAUUACAUUUCAGACUAAGUUUCAGCCACAGCUGGUCUGGGACCUUGAGAAGGUUCAAGAGAAUGUCACAGGAAGAACUCACCAACACAUAGAUGCCCGAUCAAAGGCCAGAUUUGAUGGGGCUGUCCCGGAGCCUCGGAAAGGAAUCAGAAGUGGCCAUGUUCCUGGCAGCAAGUGCAUUCCUUUU
rnacentral:misc_RNA from 1 species